CCUACGGGUGGCAGCAGUCGAGAAUCAUUCACAAUGGGGGAAACCCUGAUGGUGCGACGCCGCGUGGGGGAAUGAAGGUCUUCGGAUUGUAAACCCCUGUCAUGUGGGAGCAAAUUAAAAAGAUAGUACCACAAGAGGACGAGACGGCUAACUCUGUGCCAGCAGCCGCGGUAAUACAGAGGGCGCAAGCGUUGUUCGGAAUCACUGGGCGUAAAGCGUGCGUAGGCUGUUUGGUAAGUCGUGUGUGAAAGGCGCGGGCUCAACCCGCGGACGGCACAUGAUACUGCGAGACUAGAGUAAUGGAGGGGGAACCGGAAUUCUCGGGGUAGCAGUGAAAUGCGUAGAUAUCGGGAGGAACACUCGUGGCGAAGGCGGGUUACUGGACAUUAACUGACGCUGAGGCACGAAGGCCAGGGGAGCGAAAGGGAUUAGAUACCCUAGUAGUC
rnacentral:rRNA from 1 species